GCAACCCUUCGGCCCCGCCUUCUGGCUGCCGGUGCUGAGCUCCGUCCUGACCCGGCUCUGUCCGGUGGACUGGCUUUAAAGUUGCGCGCUCCGCGGGCCCGCUGACCCGGCUUCGACAUAGUAGAAUCUUUCAAAUUGUUGAGCCGGUUUGCAAGGCUUCCGCCUGAAUAAACCUCUCCUUGAA
rnacentral:misc_RNA from 1 species